rfam:Marinospirillum alkaliphilum DSM 21637 genome assembly, contig: Ga0002112_scaffold00010.10
CCUGACGACCAUAGCGUCCGGGAACCACCUGAUCCCAUGCCGAACUCAGAAGUGAAACCGAUCAGCGCCGAUGAUAGUGUGGGGCCUCCCCAUGUGAAAGUAGGUCAUCGUCAGGC